rnacentral:rRNA from 1 species
AUCAUGGCUCAGAUUAGAACGCGUGGCGGCAUGCUUAACACAUGCAAGUCGAACGCGAAAGUCCUUCGGGGCGAGUAGAGUGGCGGACGGGUGAGUAACGCGUGGGAAUCUACCCUAGAGCGGGGGACAACCCGGGGAAACCCGGGCUAAUACCGCAUACGUCCUACGGGAGAGAGAGGGCCUCUGCUUGCACGCUCUCACUCCAGGAUGAGCCCACGUCCGAUUAGCUAGUUGGUAGGGUAAAGGCCUACCAAGGCCACGAUCGGUAGCUGGUCUGAGAGGAUGAUCAGCCACACUGGGACUGAGACACGGCCCAGACUCCUACGGGAGGCAGCAGUGGGGAAUAUUGGACAAUGGGCGCAAGCCUGAUCCAGCAAUGCCGCGUGUGUGAAGAAGGCCUGCGGGUUGUAAAGCACUUUCAGUGGGGAAGAACAGAUUCGGGUCAAUACCCCGGAGCCCUGACGUUACCCACAGAAGAAGCACCGGCUAACUCCGUG